rnacentral:rRNA from 1 species
UACGUAGGGGGCUAGCGUUGUCCGGAAUCAUUGGGCGUAAAGAGCGCGUAGGCGGCUAGAUAAGUCCGGUGUGAAAGUCACAGGCUCAACCUGUGAAUGCCGCUGGAAACUGUCUGGCUAGAGUCCGGAAGGGGCGAGUGGAAUUCCUGGUGUAGCGGUGAAAUGCGUAGAUAUCUGGAGGAACACCGGUGGCGAAGGCGACAUCCUGGACCGGUAUUGACGCUGAGGCGCGAAAGCCAGGGGAGCAAACGGG